UUAAAAAAAUCCUAAACUAAGCUGCCUCCAAUACACUCUCCUUCUCCGCGCCUCAACUUCACUUCUUCGUCUCUAACUAAUUCGAUGAUCCAAUUCUCUGAUUUGCUGAUCACAAAGAAGAAGAUGAUGGAUUCAUCCUCUGAAUCUUCAAUCUCGUAUGAACUCUUUUCACUUGGAUGUAUCACCUUGAUUUGUUUCAUUUGAUUUUGGUUGUUGAGAUUGAAAUUGAUUUUUGUGCGUGAAUGGUUAAAUACAAGAAGGGAAUAAAGAGACAAAUUAGUACACCAAACUAUUUUUAACCGUCAGAAAGCUGCAAGUUAAUUUUCUGUGGAUUAAGCGGUGAAUGGUGAUAACUCUGUUGUACCCACAAACCCCGAGACCAUGGAGAAGUGACAACCCUUUCACGGUGAUACAAUCCUUAUCAAGAGAUGCAUAAUUUACUCCUAGGACAUAUUGAAGACUCACGUAGAAGCAUUGAUUGUUCAAUGUUGUUGCAAUUACUCCCUGUGGUAAGGCAAAGCAGCCCUUGAAUUGGAUUCAGAGUGUUGCAGCAGGAGGUUUAUGGGUUCAGCACAAGUUUUUACGUAUAAUGCAAAUCCACAAAUCUUGUCAGGUGUUCGAAGUUUCCUGAAGCUAUAAUCUACAUAUCAAUUUGGAAGCUUGCAAAUUAUAUGCAAAUUGAUGAACGUACUCCAAGGUUGAUGAUUGCAGGUUGGGCACCUAAAUCGUUUUUCCUUUUCUUAGUUUCGAUUGUCUGAGCUGUUGGAUUGCACAACCCAGGUCAAUUGUGAAGACUUCCAAGCACAAGACGCAUCCUCUUUCUAUUGACAGAAAGGUUAAUUUACUUAUUGAUGACUUUUGUCCAUCUGUUUUUAGAUUAUUUUUUUCUUGGUGUAAUCAUUAUAACCAAUAUUUUUUUUAACUACGGGGGACACAAUACAGGAAUCGUUGUAUAUAUAAAUCAUUAUUAUUAUACUCCCUCCGUUUCUAAAAAUAGAUUUGUUUGAUUUUCACAAAAAUUAAGAAAACUAAUCAUUGAAGCCA